UGCUCUAGUGUUCGAGAGGAUGGUUUAUUGAUGUUAAAUUUGGGGUUAGAGUAC
rnacentral:tRNA from 1 species